rnacentral:rRNA from 1 species
GUGCCAGCAGCCGCGGUAAUACGUAGGGUGCGAGCGUUGUCCGGAUUUAUUGGGCGUAAAGGGCUCGUAGGUGGUUGAUCGCGUCGGAAGUGUAAUCUUGGGGCUUAACCCUGAGCGUGCUUUCGAUACGGGUUGACUUGAGGAAGGUAGGGGAGAAUGGAAUUCCUGGUGGAGCGGUGGAAUGCGCAGAUAUCAGGAGGAACACCAGUGGCGAAGGCGGUUCUCUGGGCCUUUCCUGACGCUGAGGAGCGAAAGCGUGGGGAGCGAACAGGCUUAGAUACCCUGGUAGUCCACGCUGUAAACGGUGGGUACUAGGUGUGGGGUCCAUUCCACGGGUUCCGUGCCGUAGCUAACGCUUUAAGUACCCCGCCUGGGGAGUACGGCCGCAAGGCUAAAACUCAAAGGAAUUGACGGGGCCCCGCACAAGCGGCGGAGCAUGCGGAUUAAUUCGAUGCAACGCGUANAACCUUACCUGGGUUUGACAUGGAUCGGGAGUGCUCANAGAUGGGUGUGCCUCUUUUGGGGUCGGUUCACAGGUGGUGCAUGGCUGUCGUCAGCUCGUGUCGUGAGAUGUUGGGUUAAGUCCCGCAACGAGCGCAACCCUUGUUCACUGUUGCCAGCACGUUAUGGUGGGGACUCAGUGGAGACCGCCGGGGUCAACUCGGAGGAAGGUGGGGAUGACGUCAAGUCAUCAUGCCCCUUAUGUCCAGGGCUUCACGCAUGCUACAAUGGCUGGUACAGAGAGUGGCGAGCCUGUGAGGGUGAGCGAAUCUCGGAAAGCCGGUCUCA